UACGUAGGGGGCAAGCGUUGUCCGGAUUUAUUGGGCGUAAAGAGCGUGUAGGCGGCCAUACAGGUCAGCUGUGAAAACUCGAGGCUCAACCUCGAGACGUCGGUUGAAACCGUAUGGCUAGAGUCCGGAAGAGGAGAGUGGAAUUCCCGGUGUAGCGGUGAAAUGCGCAGAUAUCGGGAAGAACACCCGUGGCGAAGGCGGCUCUCUGGGACGGUACUGACGCUGAGACGCGAAAGCCAGGGGAGCGAACGGG
rnacentral:rRNA from 1 species